rfam:Oryctes borbonicus contig1735, whole genome shotgun sequence.
UAAAAAGCUUUUUUGAAAGCUACAAAUGUAAAGCUUUUUAUUUUGU